rnacentral:rRNA from 1 species
UACGUAGGGUGCAAACGUUGUCCGGAAUUAUUGGGCGUAAAGAGCUCGUAGGCGGUUUGUCGCGUCUGCUGUGAAAUCCCGGAGCUUAACUCCGGGCCUGCAGUGGGUACGGGCAGACUUGAGUGCGGUAGGGGAGAUUGGAAUUCCUGGUGUAGCGGUGUAAUGCGCAGAUAUCAAGAGGAACACCGAUGGCGAAGGCAGAUCUCUGGGCCGUAACUGACGCUGAGGAGCGAAAGCAUGGGGAGCGAACAGG